rnacentral:tRNA from 1 species
GGGCCUAUAGCUCAGCUGGGAGAGCACAACACUGGCAGUGUUGAGGUCGGCGGUUCGUCCCGCCUAGCUCCACCA